rnacentral:tRNA from 1 species
GUUCCUGCAGUGUAGUGGUUAUCAUGAUUGCUUUACAUGCAAUAGGUCUCUGGUUCAAAACCAGACAGAAAUG